UACGUAGGAUGCAAGCGUUGUCCGGAAUUAUUGGGCGUAAAGAGCGCGCAGGCGGUCUGCCAAGUCAGAUGUGAAAGAGGCCGGCUUAACCGGCAAGGGUCAUUUGAAACUGACAGACUAGAGUGCAGCAGAGGAUAGCGGAAUUCCCCGGUGUAGUGGUGAAAUGCGUAGAUAUCGGGAGGAACACCAGUGGCGAAGGCGGCUAUCUGGGCUGCAACUGACGCUGAGGCGCGAAGGCUAGGGUAGCAAACAGG
rnacentral:rRNA from 1 species